rnacentral:rRNA from 1 species
GACAGAGGAUGCAAGCGUUAUCCGGAAUGAUUGGGCGUAAAGCGUCUGUAGGUGGCUUUUCAAGUCCGCCGUCAAAUCCCAGGGCUCAACCCUGGACAGGCGGUGGAAACUACCAAGCUGGAGUACGGUAGGGGCAGAGGGAAUUUCCGGUGGAGCGGUGAAAUGCGUAGAGAUCCGGAAGAACACCGGUGGCGAAGGCGGCCUGCUGGGCAGUGGCUGACACUGAGGCGCGACAGCGUGGGGAGCAAACAGG